ACCAGUAGUUGGGCUGGCCCGUAGGACGUUUAUCAUCGAUUUGAUCACGACAUACGGCGAUACUCGAUUACCAGAAAACCACUUUCACGGUCGAUGUACGGUUGGUUUAAUAAUGACAACUUUGUUUUGAUAAUGACAGUGGAAAGCCCGUCAUCAUUGGUCCGACAUGUGCAAUAGGAUUAACAUACCGUGACUGUCCUGUUAUAGGAAUGUAAGUUGCCUGCGAUUCACAACUGGAAUACUUUGUAUCUGCCACUGGAAGCAAUAUAUCAGGCUUAAAGUCGUAACACGCCACAUCUGGGCGACUCAACAUGGAGCUGCGGAUUCCAUAUUUAUUACUAUGUUCGCUGUGUACUGUAACGUCAUCAGAUAUACCUGCCUACGACAUCUUUACUCGUCUUCGUAAAGACCUUUUUGAGAACUACGACAGAUAUUCACGCCCCGCUAUAAAUGCAGACGACUCUAUUCGAAUUGAUUUUGGACUAUCCCUCAACCAGCUAGUGGAUGUG